rnacentral:tRNA from 1 species
UGGAGCUCAGUGGUAGAGUGCUUGCCUAGCAUGCUGGAAGUCCUGGGUUUGAUCCCCAGCA